UGUGGCUACAUGUGGAGAAAUCUUGUUAGGAAAUGUAAUCAGAAAGGAAGGAGGUCAAACAUUAUGUUACAAAAAUACGAUUGUGCUGAUCACAAUAAUCUUUUUAGCUGUUUCUGUGAUCGUACAUAUAAUUUUGAUCUUUUAUCGAACUCAAGCCUUGCCAUGUCAAAUAGUUAAAGAAAGACCCUCUGUAGCAAAACGCAACAACGUGAACCACCAAAGAGAUGAAAUUGUGGG